rnacentral:rRNA from 1 species
GUUUGAUCCUGGCUCAGAACGAACGCUGGCGGCGGGCUUCAUACAUGCAAGUCGAGCGCGUGUAGCAAUACACGAGCGGCGAACGGGUGAGUAACGGGUGGAUAACCUACCUCUCCGGUGGGGAAUAACGGCGGGAAACUGCCGCUAAUACCGCAUACGGUUGCCGGCCCUCGGGCCGGUAAAGAAAGAAGCGUUUGCUUCGCCGGGAGAUGGGUCCGCCUCCGAUUAGCUAGUUGGUGGGGUAAUGGCCUACCAAGGCAUCGAUCGGUAGCCGAACUAAGAGGUUGAUCGGCCACACUGGAACUGAGACACGGUCCAGACACCUACGGGUGGCAGCAGUAGGGAAUCUUGCGCAAUGGGCGAAAGCUUGACGCAGCCACGCCGCGUGGAUGAUGAAGGCCUUCGGGUCGUAAAGUCCUUUUCUGAAGGAAGAACAACCUGGUGAGGAAAUGCUCCGGGUCUGACGGUACUUCAGGAAUAAGCAACGGCUAACUCUGUGCCAGCAGCCGCGGUAAUACAGAGGUUGCAAGCGUUGUUCGGAAUCACUGGGCGUAAAGGGAGCGCAGGCGGCCAAGUCAGUCUGAAGUGCAAGCCCGGGGCUCAACCCCGGAAUUGCUUUGGAUACUGCUUGGCUUGAGUAUGUCAGAGGUGAGCGGAAUUCCAGGUGUAGCGGUGAAAUGCGUAGAUAUCUGGAGGAACAUCGGUGGCGAAAGCGGCUCACUGGGACAACACUGACGCUGAGGCUCGAAAGCGUGGGGAGCGAACGGGAUUAGAUACCCCGGUAGUCCACGCUGUAAACGUUGUGCACUAGGUGUGGGGGGUGUCGACCCCCUCCGUGCCGGAGCUAACGCAUUAAGUGCACUGCCUGGGGGAGUACGGU